rnacentral:rRNA from 1 species
UACAGAGGGUGCAAGCGUUAUUCGGAAUUAUUGGGCGUAAAGGGCGCGUAGGUGGUUUGGUAAGUCUGAUGUGAAAUCCCCGGACUCAAUUCGGGAAGUGCAUUGGAUACUGCUAGACUGGAGUAUGGGAUAGGAGAGUGGAAUUCCAGGUGUAGAGGUGAAAUUCGUAGAUAUCUGGAGGAACAACAGAGGCGAAGGCGGCUCUCUGGACCAUUACUGACACUGAGGCGCGAAAGCGUGGGGAGCAAACAGG